GUAAGGUGUGGUUGAGACUAUCUGGACUGUGCACUUGACUGAAUCCUGAACCCCAUUAAGGCUUCUAUAUAAACUUUUAAGAUAUAGUGGGUGGGUGCGGAGACUUGCCUUGUGGCUUCCUGAGACAAGCCUGAUGUAAUUCUUAUGCACAGCCCUAGGAUUAACUUACUCAAAGAUAAAGUUUGGAGAUUUUCUCAUUUCUAUCAAUGUGAUGAUAUAGAGCUGUACAGGAAGAACCAGAUACUAGGCUCAGAAGAUAAGUUGAAUAAUCAGAAUAACAUUCUUCUUCCCUUUACCUUCAGAUUUCCCCCCCAUGGGAAAGAGAGAGAUA
rnacentral:lncRNA from 1 species